AGGUAGUACUCAUUUUUUUGUACGCAGUGGAUUCAUAUUUUUGUCCUCUUUUAACAGACGGACAUACAUAUAGUAUAUGUAUUAUCUUCAAUUUCUUUUGAUAUUAUUUAAUUACGCAGUAAAAUUUGACUAAAUAACUAGCUUCAUCACCAACUUGAUUUCAUUAUCAAAGUUAAUGUGGUUACGAUCAGUGGUUACUAAUAAAAGUUAAAUUAAUAAAAAUUAAAAUACAUGUGCUAUUUAUAUAACCAUUAGUGAAUGGAAAAAUUUAUAAAUUUUAGAAUUCUCCAGAUUCUAGUAAAUUAUAAUUAUAGACAAAGGAAGAAUAAAAUCAUUUUCUACAAGUAAAAUCUGACCAAGUUUAUAUCCGAAUAUAUGGUUACUAAACGCACCGAGCGUAAAAUUCAAGAGGUUUUAGAACUUAAAUCAUCAGAUUCGGAAAAUUAAACUCCACAAUUAAAGUCCAUACGUGGCCACGAGGCCCGCCACAUGUGACUAGAGUCACCUUAAAUACAUCACCAAUUUUUCCACAUAUAGAAGUCCAUUUUGGCCACGAGGUCACUACAUUUGACGUUAAGACACAAUUUCCAAAAUUAGGGACUGCCCACAAGUUAAAGUCUACACGUGUCCUUCAUCUAAUUGCUUUUUCACAACACACGUGAUCGAGAAGUUCAUCACAUCUGACCAAAGUCACCUAAACACGACCCGGAGUGAGAAUUAAAUUCCCACGUGGCCGUGAAGGUCUUCACACCUAGUCACGCCAAAUUAUUUAUUUAAAUGUGCCUUAAUUAUUCAUUAAAAACUAUUUAAAAAUUAUUAAAAUCUAAUCUAAUAAAAAAAUUCGCUAAAUAUUACCUAAA